rnacentral:rRNA from 1 species
AUUGAACGCUGGCGGCAGGCCUAACACAUGCAAGUCGAACGAGUGGCGGACGGGUGCGUAAUGUCUGGGAAACUUCCUGCUGGCUGGGGAUAACUACUGGACACUGUCGCUAAUACCGCAUACCAUCAGAUGUGCCCAGCUGGGAUUAGCUUGUUGGUGGGGUAACGGGUCACCAAGGCGACGAUCCCUAGCUGGUCUGAGAGGAUGACCAGCCACACUGGAACGGAGACACGGGCCAGACGCCUACGGGAGGCAGCAGUGGGGAAUAUUGCACAAUGGGGGCAAGCCUGAUGCAGCCAGGCCGCGGGUAUGAAGAAGGCCUUCGGGUUGUAAAGUACUUUGAGCGGGGAGGCGUUACCCGCAGAAGAAGCACCGGCUAACUCCGUGCCAGCAGCCGCGGUAAUUC